UCCCUGGGGGUGGCUGUGUCUCCUCUCCGUGUCCCUGGGGGUGGCUCUGUCUCCUCUCCGUGUCCCUGGGGGUGGCUCUGUGUCCUCUCCGUGUCCCUGGGGGUGGCUCUGUCUCCUCUCCCUGU